GAUGAACGCUGGCGGCGUGCCUAAUACAUGCAAGUCGAGCGAACGGACGAGAGGCUUGCUUCUCUGAUGUUAGCGGCGGACGGGUGAGUAACACGUGGAUAACCUACCUAUAAGACUGGGAUAACUUCGGGAAACCGGAGCUAAUACCGGAUAAUAUUUUGAACCGCAUGGUUCAAAAGUGAAAGACGGUCUUGCUGUCACUUAUAGAUGGAUCCGCGCUGCAUUAGCUAGUUGGUAAGGUAACGGCUUACCAAGGCAACGAUGCAUAGCCGACCUGAGAGGGUUACCCGGCCACCGGGCAUGGGGACCCCGGCCGGCACCCGUCGGGAGGCCAGCGUUGGUAUUUCCUCGACAAGGGGGAAGGCCCUCCGGCACCACCCCGCGUUGGCGAUCAACGUUCUCGGGUCGGAAACCUUUUUUUUUUGGGAAAGAACUUUGUGUCAGUUACGGGCGACCACUUCGCGGGCCCGAACCAGAAAUCCCCGGCUACCCUCC
rnacentral:rRNA from 1 species